rnacentral:rRNA from 1 species
CUACGGGCGGCUCCAGUGAGGAAUAUUGCACAAUGGGGGGAACCCUGAUGCAGCAACGCCGCGUGGAGGAUGACGCAUUUCGGUGUGUAAACUCCUUUUAUAUGUCAAGAAAAUGACGGUAGCAUAUGAAUAAGCACCGGCUAACUCCGUGCCAGCAGCCGCGGUAAUACGGAGGGUGCAAGCGUUACUCGGAAUCACUGGGCGUAAAGGACGCGUAGGCGGGUUGGAAAGUCAGGUGUGAAAUCCUACAGCUUAACUGUAGAACUGCACUUGAAACUUCUAAUCUAGAGUAUGGGAGGGGGAGAUGGAAUUAGUGGUGUAGGGGUAAAAUCCGUAGAUAUCACUAGGAAUACCUAAAGCGAAGGCGAUCCCCUGGAACAUUACUGACGCUAAGGCGUGAAAGCGUGGGGAGCAAGCAGGAUUAGAUACCCUUGUAGUC